rnacentral:rRNA from 1 species
GACGAACGCUGGCGGCGUGCUUAACACAUGCAAGUCGAACGGAAAGGUGCUGCGCUUGCUCGUCUGUCGUUAGCGGAGCGCGUGAGUAACACGCGAGUAUCCUCUCCUUGACUGUCUGAGAUCUUCACGGAACUGCGGCGAUUAUCCCGUAGAAUCUCUUGCUGCACGUGGGUCGUUGGAAAGUGUCGGCCGUUGUGGAUGGUCUGGCGGGUUACCAGCUGGUUGGUGGGGUAGUGGCUUACCAAGGCUUUGACGGGUAGCCCGCCUGAGAGGCGUGCCGGCGUCCUUGGGCCUGCGGUACGGACCAGACUCCAACGGGAGGCAGCGGUGGGGAGUAUGACACAAUGGGCGGAAGCCUGAUACAGCAACGCCGCGUGCGGGAUGACGGCUUUCGGGUUGUAAACCACUUUCGAAUGUAACGAAGCGGGAGUGACGGUAAUGGGUCAAAAAGCCACGGCUAACUACGUG